UACAGAGGCCUCAAGCGUUGUUCGGAUUCAUUGGGCGUAAAGGGUGCGUAGGCGGGCAGGUAAGUCCGUGGUGAAAUCUCUGAGCUUAACUCAGAAACUGCCAUGGAUACUAUUUGUCUUGAAUAUUGUGGAGGUGAGCGGAAUAUGUCAUGUAGCGGUGAAAUGCUUAGAUAUGACAUAGAACACCAAUUGCGAAGGCAGCUCACUACACAGUUAUUGACGCUGAGGCACGAAAGCGUGGGGAUCAAACAGG
rnacentral:rRNA from 1 species